CGCGUUAUUCGCGGCAGUCUCUCUAGAGGGCCCAACUGAAUGAUGGCAACUAGAAACGAGGGUUGCGCUCGUUGCGGGACUUAACCCAACAUCUCACGACACGAGCUGACGACAGCCAUGCAGCACCUGUGUGGAAAGCUCCAUUGCUGGAGAAGCACGAUCUCUCAUGCAGUCUUUCCCAUGUCAAGUCCUGGUAAGGUUCUGCGCGUUGCGUCGAAUUAAACCACAUGCUCCACCGCUUGUGCGGGCCCCCGUCAAUUCCUUUGAGUUUCAGUCUUGCGACCGUAUUCCCCAGGCGGAACACUUAACGCGUUAGCUACGUUACUGAGAAGGAACCUUCCCAACAACCAGUUGACAUCGUUUAGGGCGUGGACUAC
rnacentral:misc_RNA from 1 species